rnacentral:misc_RNA from 1 species
UCUCCGUAGGUGAACCUGCGGAAGGAUCAUUAUUGUUUAACCGAGGUGCGAGGGCUGUCGCUGACCCGAAAGGUCGUGCACGCCCGAGUGCCCUCACACACAUCCAUCUCACCCCUAUGUGCACCACCGCGUGGGUCCCCCUUGUGCUUGUUCGGAGGGGGGCUUACGUUUUCACACAAACUUUGUAUGCAGUGUAGAAUGAAUUUUUUGUUUUUGCGAUCACGCAAUCAAUACAACUUUCAACAACGGAUCUCUUGGCUCUC